GAAAUUAAGCAUAUCAAUAAGCGGAGGAAAAGAAACUAACAAGGAUUCCCUUAGUAACUGCGAGUGAAGAGGGAAAAGCUCAAAUUUAAAAUCUGGCAGUGUUUCACUGUCCGAGUUGUAACCUAGAGAAGUGUAACCUGUGCUGGACCGUGUAUAAGUCUCCUGGAAUGGAGCAUCACAGAGGGUGAGAAUCCCGUCUUUGACAUGGACUACCAGUGCAUUGUGGUUGUGCUCUCAACGAGUCGAGUUGUUUGGGAAUGCAGCUCUAAAUGGGUGGUAAAUUCCAUCUAAAGCUAAAUAUUGGCGAGAGACCGAUAGCGAACAAGUACCGUGAGGGAAAGAUGAAAAGAACUUUGGAAAGAGAGUUAAACAGUAUGUGAAAUUGUUGAAAGGGAAACGUUUGAAGUCAGUCGCGUUGGUUGGGGAUCAGCCUGACACUGUUGGGUGUACUUCCUGGUUGACGGGCCAACAUCAGUUUUGACUGCCAGAAAAAGGCCAAAGGAAUGUGGCACCUUUGGGUGUGUUAUAGCCCUUGGUCGUAUAUGGUGGUUGGGACUGAGGAAAGCAGCGUGCCGAAAGGCCGGGUUUCGACCACGUUCACGCUGAGGAUGUUGGCAUAAUGGCUUUAAGCGACCCGUCUUGAAACACGGACCAAGGAGUCUAACAUGCAUGCGAGUGUUUGGGUGGAAAACCCUUACGCGUAAUGAAAGUGAAAGUUGAGAUCCCUGUCGUGGGGAGCAUCGACGCCCGGACCAGAACUUUUGGGACGGAUCUGCGGUAGAGCACGUAUGUUGGGACCCGAAAGAUGGUGAACUAUGCCUGAAUAGGGUGAAGCCAGAGGAAACUCUGGUGGAGGCUCGUAGCGAUUCUGACGUGCAAAUCGAUCGUCAAAUUUGGGUAUAGGGGCGAAAGACUAAUCGAACCAUCU
rnacentral:rRNA from 1 species